GGCCGGAUAAGGCGUUUACGCCGCAUCCGGCGUUCGGUGCACGGUGCCUGAUGCGACGCUGUCGCGUCUUAUCAGGCC
rnacentral:ncRNA from 1 species